rnacentral:rRNA from 1 species
AGAGACAGCAGUAGCCGCGGUAAUACGAAGGGGGCUAGCGUUGUUCGGAAUUAUUGGGCGUAAAGGGCUCGCAGGCGGUUUCUUAAGUCUGAUGUGAAAGCCCCCGGCUCAACCGAGGAGGGUCAUUGGAAACUGGGAAACUUGAGUGCAGAAGAGGAGAGUGGAAUUCCACGUGUAGCGGUGAAAUGCGUAGAGAUGUGGAGGAACACCAGUGGCGAAGGCGACUCUCUGGUCUGUAACUGACGCUGAGGCUCGAAAGCGUGGGGAGCAAACAGGAUUAGAUACCCGUGUAGUCCCUGUCUCUUAUAC